AGAGUUUGAUCCUGGCUCAGGACGAACGCUGGCGGCAGGCCUAACGCAUGCAAGUCGAGCGCCCGCAAGGGAGCGGCAGACGGGUGAGUAACGCGUGGGAACGUGCCCUUUGGUUCGGAAUAUUCCCGGGAAACUGGGAGCAAAACCGGAUAAGCCCUUCGGGGGAAAGUUUACGCCAAAGGAUCGGCCCGCGUUAGAUUAGGUAGUUGGUGGGGUAACGGCCUACCAAGCCUACGAUCUAUAGCUGAUCUGAGAGGAUGAUCAGCCACACUGGGACUGAGACACGGCCCAGACUCCUACGGGAGGCAGCAGUGGGGAAUCUUGGACAAUGGGCGCAAGCCUGAUCCAGCCAUGCCGCGUGGAUGACUGAAGGCCCUAGGGUUGUAAAGUCCUUUCGACGGGGACGAUAAUGACGGUACCCGUAGAAGAAGCCCCGGCUAACUUCGUGCCAGCAGCCGCGGUAAUACGAAGGGGGCUAGCGUUGUUCGGAUUUACUGGGCGUAAAGGGCGCGUAGGCGGAUUUUUAAGUCGGGGGUGAAAUCCCGGAGCUCAACUCCGGAACUGCCUUCGAUACUGAAAGUCUGGAGCACGGUAGAGGUGAGUGGAAUUCCGAGUGUAGAGGUGAAAUUCGUAGAUAUUCGGAGGAACACCAGUGGCGAAGGCGGCUCACUGGACCGUUGCUGACGCUGAGGCGCGAAAGCGUGGGGAGCAGACAGGAUUAGAUACCCUGGUAGUCC
rnacentral:rRNA from 1 species